UGGAAUUGUUUCAGUCUCA
rnacentral:piRNA from 1 species